rnacentral:rRNA from 1 species
AACGAACGCUGGCGGCAUGCCUAACACAUGCAAGUCGAACGAGACCUUCGGGUCUAGUGGCGCACGGGUGCGUAACGCGUGGGAACCUGCCCUUAGGUUCGGAAUAACUCCCCGACAGGGGUGCUAAUACCGGAUAAUGUCUUCGGACCAAAGAUUUAUCGCCUUUGGAUGGGCCCGCGUUGGAUUAGCUAGUUGGUAGGGUAAAAGCUUACCAAGGCGACGAUCCAUAGCUGGUCUGAGAGGAUGAUCAGCCACACUGGGACUGAGACACGGCCCAGACUCCUACGGGAGGCAGCAGUGGGGAAUAUUGGAAAAUGGGCGAAAGCCUGAUCCAGCAAGGCCGCGUGAGUGAUGAAGGCCUUAGGGUUGUAAAGCGCUUUUACCCGGGAUGAUAAUGACAGUACCGGGAGAAUAAGCUCCGGCUAACUCCGUG